UUUAAAGUAUAUUAGUUUACUAGUAAUAUUUAUCUCAAGAAAUCUCCCUAUUAACCAAAAAAAACACGUUAGGAAACAAGAAAUCUUAAGCAAACUAAUGCAGUCUUUCAUUGUGAAGAAAGAAACAGGAAUGUGCUUUUACGGAGAACUGUCAAUUUUGAGGAAAAAGAACUGAUGAUUCAUAAAAAAAGAAGAUGCAAAAAGAGAACACAGAAUAUCACAAGGCAUUAGGGGGAAGAGAAUUUUUAAACAUUGACCGUGAUAAAAUUCAUCAUCACUCCAUUAAUGGAGAAGAAAAGGAAGAAGAAAAACAAAGACACUAUUAAUGGAGAUUAAUGAAGAAGAAGAAGAAGGAAGAAACAAAAGAAAAAGAUAGAAAAGGAAGAAAAAAAAAUUAAAAUACAAAAUAAAAAGAAUGAAGCCUUUUUAUUACACAUGACAUCUUUUAAUUGGUUAUUUCAGUCAACUCUUAAGUAUUCACGCGCCUCUUAUGUGUGUCUAUAUGCAUAGGCAAAAUUUUAAUCAACAUGAUGUAUUUACAAUAGUUUAGAUAAGUUUCAUGAGGUAAUAGCUCACCCGUAUAUUUUAGGUGUCUUUUUGAAAAAGUCGGACAAGUUGAGGGGUG
rnacentral:lncRNA from 1 species